rnacentral:rRNA from 1 species
AUUGAACGCUGGCGGCAUGCCUUACACAUGCAAGUCGAGCGCGAAAGGGGGCAACCCCGAGUAGAGCGGCGGACGGGUGAGUAACGCAUCGGAACGUGCCCAGUAGUGGGGGACAACCUCGAGAAAUCGAGGCUAAUACCGCAUACGACCCACGGGUGAAAGCGGGGACCGCAAGGCCUCGCGCUAUUGGAGCGGCCGAUGUCCGAUUAGCUAGUUGGCGGGGUAAGAGCCCACCAAGGCGACGAUCGGUAGCUGGUCUGAGAGGACGACCAGCCACACUGGGACUGAGACACGGCCCAGACUCCUACGGGAGGCAGCAGUGGGGAAUUUUGGACAAUGGGGGCAACCCUGAUCCAGCCAUGCCGCGUGCGGGAAGAAGGCCUU